UCUUUAAAAGAUGUUUAUUCUGUUCUCUUUUAAGGGAGAAUCAUUUAUGCAAACCCUUCUAACCUUAAAAAAUGGAAUUCAGGUUGCCUGCAAUUACCUGCAAAUAUUUUGAAUUGACAUGAUAGAAGCCUUUCUCACUUCAGAAGCAUUUAUUUUGAGUUCAGGGUCACUCCUCAGCCUCGACUAUGGAAGUGUGACUGGUUUUUGCGUCCUGCUUUCACUUCAAGUCCUUCUAAAAUGAUGAGCUACACUGGCACUCACACUGCUCAGCUGGAGGGGAUUUGUGUAGACUAAAAGACAAGUCACUGCCAGAAAUCAGCAACUGUCAAGACAUGAGGGGGCAAAAUGCUUGUGUGCUACACCCCAUGCUCAGGCUUUUCAGUUCUCUUAUUGCCAUGGUCAAAAUACAACCUUCAACAGUUCAGCCUGCAGCUGGCCUCAUAUCUUUGGGGAAAAAAAGGCGAAGGACCUAGCCAUGUGGAGAAGCUCCUGUCUCACGGAUUCCCAGGCAUAUAGCCAUCUGCCAAGAAGCUCAUAUUGCCUAGGUUGAUCUACAGCAAAGCCUGAGAUCCCAGACCAUUCUGAGAGGUGACACUGGUGAGGCCAACCUGUGGAAGAACUGAAGGCAGACCUGCAAGUGCUUCAAGGCUUUCAGCUUUCAGUCGUGUGGCAAGGAAGACUUCUGAGAUUAAGGGCCUACUGGAAUGCAUAGCAAUGCCCCAUCCCCAUCUACAUGCCCAGAGGAUGAAGUGCCCCUUGUCCCCCCUGUCCUGAUCAAAGGAGAAAUCCUACAUCCUUCACUUCAGGUGUUGUCAGUUCCAUGUCAGAAACGUGAAAAUCAGAAAGGGUAUCACAUGGGCUGAAGAGAACUCUGUUUGUGAAGUGGUGUAAGUGCCUGCAGAAUGAAAAGAGGACUCAAAGGAAAGGAAACAAGCAAAGAGCAAUGGAAAAUAGAUGAUUUCCAUCCAAACUGAAUC